ACUUUUGCAGUACCUCGCAAUACUUUGCGUCUCGCAAUAUGUUUUGAAUUCCCUCACAAUACUUUUGCGUUACCUAGCAAUACCUAUCUUCUUCCGUUACUUCUGAGCCAUAGCUGUCAUUUUGGCUCAGGCAGCUGCUCCCAGCUCCUUUUAGGUGCCCUGACGUGAAGUUACAUGAGCUGUGUACGGACAGGUGGUCCAUUUCAGACAUGAAGGAGGACCUUGAGGACUUCCUUAAGUCAAGGAAUGUUGCAGAAGAAGAUAUAAACUGAAUGAAAAUGGACAAGCAUCCCAAAAAACUCAGACGACCUGAUAAACAGAUCCAACUUUGGAUUCCCGCACUGCCACCCCAAGCAGCAGAACACUCAAGUCCAGUGCAACACUCGAUAGCAGAUGAUGUUGCAUCGUUGAGUCCAGUUCAGCAUGUCACACCCAUGUGCAACACAGGGAGUUAUUAUGACAAACUUCAACAGAGAUUUGGCUGAAGAUGGUGUUGAUGACCUUCCUACAACUCUUCUAUGGACAGAAGACCAUUCUGAUGAGACUGGUGCACAACCCCCAGAAGUAUAUGUGGUAAUACAUUUUUGGUUAUAUUUAAAGUCUAACCUUAUUUGUAGCAUCAUAUAGUUUCAUGUUUUUGUUUUGUUUGUUUUCAUUCCCAUUUUAUAUUCAUGUAAUAUUUCCGCAAAGCCACCAAAUAAGCUCUCAUGUUACAUAUGUCCAUAUUCAUAUUUCUUUGCUGGACUUUGACAUGACAUAUCUUGAUAUACACAGAUCCAAACAUUGACACAAUGAAUGUUUGUAUACUUGACAUUGGUAUAAUCCUACAGUAUUCAAAAACAAACACAUUAAAACAGUCCCUGACAGUAUUGGUCAA